AGAAUCAUCACCAAAGACAAGG
rnacentral:siRNA from 1 species